GCCGCCGCCGCUCGCGUUUCCGUCACACGCAGCGCCGCAGAGGCAGAUAAUGAGGGAUUUGUGAAUGGAAGAGAACAUUUGCGUUCAUUGUUAAAAUUAAGCCACCCGAUGACGUCCCUUCGGAACGUGACCAAUCCCGGCCGUGAUGAGAGACGUUCUCCACCAAUGAGGGCAGAGGCGAGCGGGCGAUCCGACCAAUCACGCGCUGGCAUGCAAAUAAGAAAUGUGCCUCGGCAGGAGCUGAAUGUCAACUAGUCAAAGAUGGAGUCCGGUGCUGGGAGGCCGUGAGGUGCCAACGGGCCGACGCCGUUAAAUCACCGGGCGCCGGCACGCCCGCGGGGCCGCGGCCGCGGGUCCGGAACGGAAGUAUUUGCGGGAGGUAGACGGCCGAGGCCGGGACGAGGCGGUCCGCCGCCUCGCUGUGCCUGUCCUGCGCGUUGAGCCGCUCGGACCGGCCCUGCUCCGCCAGGUACCGGCCCUCCACCCCGCGACCAGGGGCCCUCCACCCCGCCACGAGACCCUGCUGCUGCCGCGGGCCGGAGGGGCCGCGCAGCGGGAUGUCGGUCCCCGUGUCUCCUGUGGUCCCGCGAGCUCGGCCUGGUCCACGUGCCCUCGCAGAUGAGACCCUAUCAAUGUUGCCUCUGCUUUCACUUGAGUCAACAGAGUAGUGCAAUAUUGCUUAUAGGGUCUUGCCUGUGAGGGAGGCUCCCCGGGCCCAGCCGGCGCUGCUGGCCGUGUCUUCUCGUGACGUUGAGCUUCACCCUGCUGCAGAGCUCACCGAUGCGACGUGUGAUGUGAGUUGUAGUGUUGUAGCGGAGUCUCAGAGCAAAACGCUUAGAGCGAUGUGAGGGUUUCAGGACACGCGUGUACAGGCGGUUAUGAUGACAGAAUGACAUGUGACAUGAGCCGGACGGUUGGGCCCGAUGUGGAAUAGAGGCCCUCUGCUCGACACUCUUUCCCUGUUGCACUACUGUGGGAGCUGCAGCAAGCAGUGCAAUAAUGAAAGGGCAUCGGUCAGCUGGGCCUUCGCCCUGCCUCUGAGCAAGGCACCGCAGCCCCUUUUGCUAACGCACGCUUUGACUUCAAUAAAGAAAAAUGCAGACGCGGUAUUUGUGUUUUUUUUAUUUGGCGCUAAUGGGGUGUGAGGAUGGAGCCGGUCAGAAAGGGCCGCCACACUAAUAAAUGAAUCGAGCACCGAGUAGGUGAAGUCCGAUUCCUCUAAUCCCUGGAGUGUGCUGGGCAGUCCGGAAACAAGGCAUAGAAAAUAAAGAGUAUAGAAGUGAAAACUAGGACGAAACUGCAUAGAUCCAGAAAGAACCAACACUAAAGGUCCGUCACAUUGUCCCGCCAGACUCAGGGGGGCAGAUGGGAUGAAAACUCCUGUGGAUUAUUAACGCAAUGUGGUUUUCACAUUCACAUCCACGGGAGGGGGCGGACCGAACAGCACGACUAAGCGAUGGGAAGUGACUGUACGACGUCCAGAGGAAGGAGUCUUUGGGUAUAAGAGUAAAAGGAGCAGGUGGCGACUGAUCCUGAGUCAGUGCAGAGCAGCAGAAACAGAUGGGAGGCAGCACACCCCUCAGAGCUGGGUGGUCACAUUUACAUUUCCUCUGCUCUGCCUGCGGGGACCCUCCCAACCCCCAACCCCCGCGACCCCUGACCCGGGGGGGAGGACGGAAGACUUCCUGUGACGCUUUCUGUCGCAUUCGAUUCAUUUCUUUUGGGAAAGGUGCGUUUGUGGCGCACAUCCCUUCAAAACCCUGCAAAUGUUGUAAGUGAAGGAAUCCGAUCUGUGAGCGGCAGAUAAAGCAAUAAAUAAAUCAAUAUUUACACUCUGA